AACGAACGCUGGCGGCGCGCCUAAUACAUGCAAGUCGAGCGAGAAGACGUAGCAAUACGUUUGUAAAGCGGCGAACGGGUGAGGAAUACAUGGGUAACCUACCCUCGAGUGGGGAAUAACUAGCCGAAAGGUUAGCUAAUACCGCGUACGCUCCUCGGACUUCGGUUCAGGGAGGAAAGCGAUACCGUGGGUAUCGCGCUCUUGGAUGGGCUCAUGUCCUAUCAGCUUGUUGGUGAGGUAACGGCUCACCAAGGCUUCGACGGGUAGCUGGUCUGAGA
rnacentral:rRNA from 1 species